UCCUGCUUACCGCAGGCAGUUCCCUUAGAGUCCCCGGCAUGACCCGCUGGCAACUAAGGGCGAGGGUUGCGCUCGUUGCGGGACUUAACCCAACAUCUCACGACACGAGCUGACGACAGCCAUGCAACACCUGUGUGCGAGCCGGCCGAACCGACUCUAGCGUUUCCGCUAGUCUUACUCGCCAUGUCAAGGAGUGGUAAGGUUCUUCGCGUUGCAUCGAAUUAGACCACAUGCUCCACCGCUUGUGCGGGUCCCCGUCAAUUCCUUUGAGUUUUAACCUUGCGGCCGUACUCCCCAGGCGGGACACUUAACGCGUUAGCUACGCCACCGAAAUAAAUCCCGAUAGCUAGUGUCCAUCGUUUACAGCGUGGACUAC
rnacentral:misc_RNA from 1 species